rnacentral:rRNA from 1 species
AAUCAACGCUGGCGGCGCGCCUAACACAUGCAAGUCGAACGAGAAAGCAGGAGCAAUCUUGUGAGUAAAGUGGCGUACGGGUGAGUAACACGUGGAUCAUCUACCCUCUUGUGGGGGAUAACCCUGGGAAACCGGGGCUAAUACCGCAUAAGUCCGAGAGGAGAAAGCAGCAAUGCGCAGGAGGAGGAGUCCGCGGCCGAUUAGCUAGUUGGUAGGGUAAAAGCCUACCAAGGCAACGAUCGGUAGCCGGCCUGAGAGGGCACACGGCCACACUGGCACUGAAACACGGGCCAGACCUCCUACGGGAGGCAGCAGUGGGGAAUCUUGCACAAUGGGGGCAACCCUGAUGCAGCGACGCCGCGUGAGCGAUGAAGCCCUU